UGGGGAAUAUUGGACAAUGGGCGAAAGCCUGAUCCAGCCAUGCCGCGUGUGUGAAGAAGGUCUUCGGAUUGUAAAGCACUUUAAGUUGGGAGGAAGGGCAGUAAGCGAAUACCUUGCUGUUUUGACGUUACCGACAGAAUAAGCACCGGCUAACUCUGUGCCAGCAGCCGCGGUAAUACAGAGGGUGCAAGCGUUAAUCGGAAUUACUGGGCGUAAAGCGCGCGUAGGUGGUUCGUUAAGUUGAAUGUGAAAGCCCCGGGCUCAACCUGGGAACUGCAUCCAAAACUGGCGAGCUAGAGUAGGGCAGAGGGUGGUGGAAUUCCAGGUGUAGCGGUGAAAUGCGUAGAGAUCUGGAGGAAUACCGAUGGCGAAGGCAGCCAUCUGGCCUAACACUGACGCUGAGGUACGAAAGCAUGGGGAGCAAACAGG
rnacentral:rRNA from 1 species